UACGGAGGGUGCAAGCGUUAUCCGGAUUUAUUGGGGUUAAAGGGUCCGUAGGCGGAUCUGUAAGUCAGUGGUGAAAUCUCACAGCUUAACUGUGAAACUGCCAUUGAUACUGCAGGUCUUGAGUAAAUAGAAGUGGCUGGAAUAAGUAGUGUAGCGGUGAAAUGCAUAGAUAUUACUUAGAACACCAAUUGCGAAGGCAGGUCACUAUGUUUUAACUGACGCUGAUGGACGAAAGCGUGGGGAGCGAACAGG
rnacentral:rRNA from 1 species